rnacentral:tRNA from 1 species
UAGCUCAAUUGGUUAGAGCAUGGUGCUGAGAACACCAAGGUCACAGGUUUGAUCCCCGU